rnacentral:rRNA from 1 species
UACGUAGGGGGCAAGCGUUGUCCGGAAUCAUUGGGCGUAAAGAGCGUGUAGGCGGCCAGAUAAGUCCGCUGUGAAAUCUCGAGGCUCAACCUCGAGACGUCGGCGGAAACCCUCUGGCUAGAGUCCGGAAGAGGAGAGUGGAAUUCCUGGUGUAGCGGUGAAAUGCGCAGAUAUCAGGAAGAACACCCGUGGCGAAGGCGGCUCUCUGGGACGGUACUGACGCUGAGACGCGAAAGCGUGGGGAGCAAACAGG